rnacentral:rRNA from 1 species
UGUGGUAUAUUGCACAAUGGGCGAAAGCCUGAUGCAGCGACGCCGCGUGAGGGAUGACGGCCUUCGGGUUGUAAACCUCUUUCAGCAGGGACGAAGCGCAAGUGACGGUACCUGCAGAAGAAGCACCGGCUAACUACGUGCCAGCAGCCGCGGUAAUACGUAGGGUGCAAGCGUUGUCCGGAAUUACUGGGCGUAAAGAGUUCGUAGGCGGGUUGUCGCGUCGUUUGUGAAAACCAGCAGCUCAACUGCUGGCUUGCAGGCGAUACGGGCAGACUUGAGUGCGGCAGGGGAGACUGGAAUUCCUGGUGGAGCGGUGAAAUGCGCAGAUAUCAGGAGGAACACCGGUGGCGAAGGCGGGGCUCUGGGCAGUAACUGACGCUGAGGAACGAAAGCGUGGGUAGCGAACAGG